AUGAACGCUGGCGGCGUGCCUAAUACAUGCAAGUCGAGCGAACGGACGAGAAGCUUGCUUCUCUGAUGUUAGCGGCGGACGGGUGAGUAACACGUGGAUAACCUACCUAUAAGACUGGGAUAACUUCGGGAAACCGUAGCUAAUACCGGAUAAUAUUUUGAACCGCAUGGUCCAAAAGUGAAAGACGGUCUUGCUGUCACUUAUAGAUGGACCCGCGCUGCAUUAGCUAGUUGGUAAGGUAACGGCUUACCAAGGCAACGAUGCAUAGCCGACCUGAGAGGGUGAUCGGCCACACUGGAACUGAGACACGGUCCAGACUCCUACGGGAGGCAGCAGUAGGGAAUCUUCCGCAAUGGGCGAAAGCCUGACGGAGCAACGCCGCGUGAGUGAUGAAGGUCUUCGGAUCGUAAAACUCUGUUAUUAGGGAAGAACAUAUGUGUAAGUAACUGUGCACAUCUUGACGGUACCUAAUCAGAAAGCCACGGCUAACUACGUG
rnacentral:rRNA from 1 species